CAGAGGUGGCCUAGGGCCCGGGAGAAGGCGUCAGCCUGGAGGACUGGCUGGUGGGAGGACCAGACAAAGCAUCUCCCAGGUACCACAGCCUGCCGAGGGCCAGGACCCACCCAGCCAGGCGCCCAAGAAAAUAAAAUGAGCUCGGACUAUGGUUCCAACUAUCGACUCCGACUGCCAGGCCGGGAAGGGAGACAGGCCACCGUCCUGGGGCUGGGAUUGAUGCGGCGCAACCGGAGGUGAGCGAGCUGCCAAGUCACCGGCACAAAACCUUUCCUGGGAAGAGCGCUCGGCCCUCACUUCCAACUCCGAGCCCAGCCUCGGGGACAGAUGAUACAGACAAGAUGACAGGACAGCAGGCAGCUGAAAGGCCUGGGAGAAACCCAGCAGGCGGAGGUGGAGUGUGCUUCAGGGCGGGCGGGGAGAGGAGAUUCUGAGCAGAGCCGAGGGGACAU